ACAACCUUCAGACCGUCGGUUCAUCGAGCAAUAUCACCCGCUCGAUGGAAGAUCUUGCCUUUGUCGU
rnacentral:pre_miRNA from 1 species